GUAGGUGGUUUGAUAAGCGAAUAGUGAAAUCUGGUGGCUCAACCAUUCAGACUAUUAUUCGAACUGUUGAACUCGAGAGCAGAAGAGGUAGCNUGGAAUUUCUAGUGUAGGAGUGAAAUCCGUAGAUAUUAGAAGGAACACCGAUGGUGUAGGCAGGCUACUGGGCUGUUUCUGACACUGAGGCACGAAAGCGUGGGGAGCGAACCGGAUUAGAUACCCGGGUAGUCCACGCCGUAAACGAUGGAUACUAGCUGUUUGGGGUAUCGACCCCCUGAGUAGCGAAGCUAACGCGUUAAGUAUCCCGCCUGUGGAGUACGAUCGCAAGAUUAAAACAUAAAGGAAUUGACGGGGACCCGCACAAGCGGUGGAUCAUGUUCUUUAAUUCGAUGAUAACCGAUAAACCUUACCAGGUCUUGACAUCCUUGGAAUCUUUCAGAAAUGAGAGAGUGCUUUUUAAGAGCCAAGUGACAGGUGAUGCAUGGCCGUCGUCAGCUCGUGUCGUGAGAUGUUUGGUUAAGUCCAUCAACGAGCGCAACCCUUGUCAGUAGUUGUAUUUUUCUACUGAGACUGCCCCGGCNACGGGGAGGAAGGANGGGGAUGACGUCAGGUCAGUAUUUCCCUUACGUCCUGGGCUAGAAACGUGAUACAAUGGCUAGUACAAUGCGCAGCGAAGCCCCGAGGUGAAGCAAAUC
rnacentral:rRNA from 1 species